UACGGGGGGGGCAAGCGUUGUUCGGAAUUACUGGGCGUAAAGGGCUCGUAGGCGGCCAACUAAGUCAGACGUGAAAUCCUUCGGCUUAACCGGGGAACUGCGUCUGAUACUGGAUGGCUUGAGUUUGGGAGAGGGAUGCGGAAUUCCAGGUGUAGCGGUGAAAUGCGUAGAUAUCUGGAGGAACACCGGUGGCGAAGGCGGCAUCCUGGACCAACACUGACGCUGAGUGAGCGAAAGCCAGGGGAGCAAACGGG
rnacentral:rRNA from 1 species